AUUGAACGCUGGCGGAAUGCUUUACACAUGCAAGUCGAACGGCAGCACGGACUUCGGUCUGGUGGCGCGUGGCGAACGGGUGAGUAACGUAUCGGAACGUGCCCAGUCGUGGGGGAUAACGUAGUGUAAAUUACGCUAAUACCGCAUACGAUCUAUGGAUGAAAGCGGGGGAUCGCAAGACCUCGCGCGAUUGGAGCGGCCGAUAUCAGGUUAGGUAGUUGGUGGGGUAAAGGCCCACCAAGCCAACGAUCUGUAGCUGGUCUGAGAGGACGACCAGCCGCAUUGGAGCUGCGACACGGUCCAGACUCCUACGAGAGGCAGCAGUGGGGAAUUUUGCACAAUGGGCGCAAGCCUGAUCCGGCCAUUCCCCAUGCAGGAGGAAGGCCCUAGGGUUGUAAACUGCUUUUGUGCAGAACGAAAAGGUUUCUACUAAUACUAGGAGCUCAUGACGGUACUGUAAGAAUAAGCACCGGCUAACUACGUGCCAGCCGCCGCUGUAA
rnacentral:rRNA from 1 species